rnacentral:tRNA from 1 species
GGGCGGGUAGCUCAGAUGGAUAGAGUGUUGGCCUCCGAAGCCAAAGGUCGCGGGUUCGAAUCCCGCCUCGCCCA